UCAGCUUUGUUGGUGGAGGUAAUAGCUCCCCCAAGGCUUAUGACGGGUAGGGGGUGUGAGAGCAUGACCCCCCAACAUUGGCACUGAGACACUGGCCAAACACCCUACGGGUGGCUGCAGUCGAGAAUAUUCCACAAUGGGCGAAAGCCUGAUGGAGCGACGCCGCGUGCAGGAUGAAGGUAUUCGUAUUGUAAACUGCUUUUCUUAAGGAAGAAUUUCGAUGACGGUACUUAAGGAAUAAGAGGUUACUAACUCUGUGCCAGCAGUAGCGGUAAUACAGAGACCUCAAGCGUUAUCCGGGAGAUUAUUGGGCGUAAAGCGUGUGUAGGCGGACAUAUUAGUCGUGGGUUAAAUCUCCGGGCUCAACCCGGAAACCGCUCACGAAACGGUAUGUCUUGAGAAAGUGAGGGGUUCAGUGGAACUCAUAGUGUAGUAGUGAAAUGCGUUGAUAUUAUGAGGAACACCUAAGGCGAAGGCAUCUGACUGGCACUUUUCUGACGCUCAGACACGAAAGCGUGGGUAGCGAAUGGGAUUAGAUACCCCAGUAGUCCACGCCGUAAACGAUGCAUACUAAGCAUAUGGAGAAUCGACCCUCUGUGUGUUGAAGCUAACGCGUUAAGUAUGCCGCCUGGGAAGUACGAGCGCAAGCUU
rnacentral:rRNA from 1 species